AGUGUACGCUGGCGGUAGGCCUAACACAUGCAAGUCGAACGGCAGCACAGUAAGAGCUUGCUCUUACGGGUGGCGAGUGGCGGACGGGUGAGGAAUACAUCGGAAUCUACUUUUUCGUGGGGGAUAACGUAGGGAAACUUACGCUAAUACCGCAUACGACCUACGGGUGAAAGCAGGGGAUCUUCGGACCUUGCGCGAUUGAAUGAGCCGAUGUCGGAUUAGCUAGUUGGCGGGGUAAAGGCCCACCAAGGCGACGAUCCGUAGCUGGUCUGAGAGGAUGAUCAGCCACACUGGAACUGAGACACGGUCCAGACUCCUACGGGAGGCAGCAGUGGGGAAUAUUGGACAAAGGGCGCAAGCCUGAUCCAGCCAUACCGCGUGGGUGAAGAAGGCCUUCGGGUUGUAAAGCCCUUUUGUUGGGAAAGAAAAGCAGCAGGUUAAUACCCCGCUGUUCUGACGGUACCAAAAGAAUAAGCACCGGCUAACUUCGUG
rnacentral:rRNA from 1 species